rnacentral:hammerhead_ribozyme from 1 species
AUGCAACUGACGAGUCCUAAAUAGGACGAAACGCGCGUCCUGGAU